rnacentral:rRNA from 1 species
UACGAAGGGGGCUAGCGUUGCUCGGAAUCACUGGGCGUAAAGGGUGGCGUAGGCGGGUUUUAAGUCAGAGGUGAAAUCCUGGAGCUCAACUCCAGAACUGCCUUUGAUACUGAAAGGUCUUGAGUAUGGGAGAGGUGAGUGGAACUGCGAGUGUAGAGGUGAAAUUCGUAGAUAUUCGGAAGAACACCAGUGGCGAAGGCGGCUUACUGGUCCGGUACUGAACGCGUGAGG